ACAUGGUGGUCAAGAAUCGGCAAAUGCUCAUGCUGGAAAUAGCAGUGCGACCAAGUAAGGUGGUCCUGAACCAAGUGUAUAACUUCCCACGUCACUAAGCAUAUCAAGAAAAUACAUUAGUAGGUUGUAUCUUUGGUGAAGUAUCUUGAUUUUUUUAGGUCAAAAAGUGAGCCGACCACUCCAACACAACCUAAGACAUUGGUGCUCCAAGACACCCUCAAGACAUUUGUAUGGUACAUCUCUGAGAGGUUCAUCAAAAGAACAUCUCAUCUUGCACUAAUCCAAAUGCUUAUGUUCUAAACUUCUCUUUGUUAAUUUUUUCUUCCAGGGUAACUGAGAUUUUAGAAUUGGAAAGCAUUGCAGGAGCAAGGAGCAACUACACAAGAAUCAGUUUUUAAACGAAUGUAUAUUAUGUAUAAUGUAUGUAAAGCUUAGUUCUAGUUUGUAGUGUCUUCUCUUUAAUUAUUUACAUCAUGUCUGAUUUGUUUUAGUUGUGAAUUCCAUACACUUUUAGUAUUUGUAUGUGUUCCUAGAUUUGUUACAAAGGAUGCUAAUUGUGAGAAUGGAUUUCUACUAAUGCAAUUGGUGAUGUGGAUUGAUGCCUUUAUAUAGUGAUAUUUGAU
rnacentral:lncRNA from 1 species